UAAAGCACUGACACGAACGAUGGGUAAC
rnacentral:sRNA from 1 species